UUGUCCAUCCUAAUCCCUGCCCGUCAGACUGUAGAUUGCCAGGUUUCACUUGUGGACCACAGCACCUUAGAAGCCUCGCUCAGAACAGUGACCACAGGUUCAGUACGCUCAUGCCACGCACUACUAGACAUGA
ensembl:snoRNA